UGAGUGGCCAUUUCUACAAAGAAUGACAACAAAGCCUAAUCAGUAAAUGAAUCAAUAUAAUCAAGAAAUUUAGAUUUUAGUCCAAAGAUCCUCCCACCAUUUUGUACGAAUCAAUAGCCUCUACUUUAAUCCGAAGAAUUACUCCUAAUUCUUUAGUGGGUACCGGAAUCCACAUAGACUACAGAUGGGCCCGAGUGUGUCUCGGCUAACCCAUCU
rnacentral:lncRNA from 1 species